AGUGACUGAACAACAACAACAACAACAACAACAAAGGCCAAAUUUAGUGCAAAUAAAUUAGUUGCACUCUGGUUAUCUUUGAUUUUUAAAAAUGGGGGUGAUUAUAAAAUGAUUAUAAAAUAAAAAUGGGAAUGAUUACAGAGAAAAAAGUUAUGUGUGCACAUCUGUAGAUAUUAAGUUCUAAUCCUGUUGAUUAUAUUUGAGAUUUUGUUAUAUAUCUACAAGUUGGACUGGGUCCUGAAUUCUUCUAUUUUCCUAAUGAAUUUGGUUAUAAAUCUCCAAAGAAAUGUUUCCGCUCUCUCCCAUUCUGAUUUGGAAUCACUGAGAAAAAAGAUUGCCCUUGAAUCUCUUCGGAAGGGACUCAUGAUCCUUCUCCCUACCUGAAUGGCAGCCAAAAUCCAGGGACUUGAACCUUAGGUACACAUCUCGUAGUCACAGAAGGCUCCAUUUGACUUCUGGUCCUGCAUAUCAGCUGGAGACAUCUCAGCCUGAUCAAAAGGGCAGAACUGUUAAGAAAAAAAGAGAGAGAGAGACAGCUGUUUGGAAAUGGAGUCACCUGUGUUAAGCCCCAUGUUAGCAAGUCAAACUGCAAUAACUAUUCUAAUUGUAAUUUCAGCCUCUCCCAGGAAUGUGACAUUUACCUUGUCAGUCUGGAAUUACCUGGCCUCUCUAAUGAGAUAUGCACACAAAGGACUUUGUGUUCCCCAAAGCGUUGGAUAAUUCCUACGUGACGCUGACUGCACACUUAACUAAACCACCCCAGGCCUUCAUGUGUGCCUGCACAUCUCUACUGACCUGACCUUCAACUAUAGCCUCUUCCCUUACACCACAAGAAAACAGCAUAAUGAGAUUCUCUUCUUCAACAUAAUGAGGGACUGGGGAAACCUCUGACUGAAACCAUCCACCCUGGUCAGGCACCACAGUAGCCAUGUGCAUGAGUCAUUUUACAACAGGAGGUCCGGGUAAGGAACAUGGAACUAACAAGCCACCAUCAACGGGAAGAAUUCCGGAAAGGUCAAAAGGAGACAGGAGACCACCAGUCCAUUUGUCCUCUUGGAUUCCUCCUGGUUGGCUGAGCCAUGUGCGUACCACCAGUAAGGACCCUGAGUCAGAACGAUUGGCCAGAGACAACCUGGAAAUUAAUCCCAUCACCAUAAACCCGAGACUGUGAGCCACGUGGCAGAGCAGUCCUCCUGGGUUCCCUUACCCUGCUGCACUCUGCCCAGGUGCUCCUUCCAAAUAACGUCUCUUGCUUUCUCAUACAUAUGUCUCCCUGGACAAUUCAUUUCCAAGUGUUAGAUAAGAGCACACUCUAAGGCACUGGGAGGGGUCCAUUUUCCUAUAACAACUAUACCUUGAACUCCUGUGAUGUGACAAACUUAGUCUUGGGAUAAGCAGUUAAAUCUCAGAAAUGACAACAAUCACACACACAAUAGAUGAAAUCGUGGUUACCUGGGACUUACAUUACAGGGAGUUUAAAUAUGCUUGAUUUCUUUUACAAGACUUCUGCAUUUGCCUU